UAGUCAGAAUCCGUGCUAGAAACGAUGAUGUUGGUGUCGCACAUUAGACUUGUGUUUAAAUAGAGCUUUGCUCGUGAACCAAAUAUGGUGGGCUGGGUUGUCUUUGUGGAAACGCUUAGGCGACUUGUCUACGAAUUGUAAUCAUAAUAUGGGCGGCGGUGAAUCCUUUGCAGACGACUUGAAUGGGAACGGGGUACUGUAAGUGGUAGAGUAGCCUUGUUGCUACGAUCCACUGAGGUUAAGCCCUUGUUCUAAAGAUUUGUUCA
rnacentral:rRNA from 1 species